CUUUUGCUCUGGGUUGUUGCGUUGUUGAUCACCCGGAGCGCGUCUUUCUCUGCCUGCGACUUCUGGAGAGCGGAUCGCAGUUGGAGGAUCGCGGCCAGGAUGGCGCUCCGCUCUCUGCCGCUCCUGGUGUUGGUGGGGGUCGCCCUGUGGGAGAGCUGCCUCGGCGCCUCCUCCCACUCCAUGAAGUAUUUCUACUCCUCCAUCUCGGAACCCAGUCAGGGGCAGCCCCACUUUGUCGUGGUGGGGUACGUGGAUGGUCAGAUCUUCACUUCGUACAACAGCAACACCCAGAGGAAUCAGCCUCGAGUCUCCUGGAUGGAGAAAGUGGGGAAGGAGGAUCCCCAGUACUGGGACAGAAACACCCAGAGAUCCCGUGACUCUGAGGAGGUGUUCAGAGGAGACCUGGAGACUCUGAGGCUUCGCUACAAUCAGAGCGAAGGCCUUCACACAUGGCAGUGGAUGUAUGGCUGUGAGCUCCAGGCUGAUGGGAGAAAAGGAGGAUUUAUGCAGUAUGGCUACGAUGGGAGGACCUUCAUCACCUUUGACAAGGAGAGACUCACCUGGGUGGCUCCCCAACCCCAGGCCCAGAUCACCCACAGGAAAUGGGAAGCUGUUCCAGGAUUCAAUCAGAGGUGGAAGGCCUACCUGGAGAAGGAAUGCAUUGAGUGGCUGGAGAAGUACCUGUCCUACGGGAAGGAGACACUGCUGAGGACAGAGCCCCCAGAGGUGACCAUGAGCAGCAGGACAGAGGAGGUGGAGGAUGGGAUGGAGACACACGUCUGCCGCCUGGAUGGCUUCUACCCCAGGGAGAUUGAUGCCUCCUGGAUGAGGGACGGGGAGGUCUGGCUGCAGGACACCCUCCGUGGCUCCGUGGCCCCCAACGCGGAUGGGACCUUCCACACCACGCUCAGCAUCCGGAUCGAUCCCAAAGAGAGGGGCCGCUAUCACUGCCACGUGGAGCACGACAGCCUACCGAAGUCUCUGGACGUGGCCCUGGAGGAACCAAAAUCCAGCCUGGGGAUCAUCAUCGGCUGCGUUGUGGCUGGUCUUGUCCUGCUGGGUGUGAUUGUUGGGAUCUGGUUUUUCAAAAGACGUCAAGAUGACUACAGAGCAGCACCAAGUGAGUGAAUUGUCCUCUUUCCAUGUAAUCUCCAAGUUAGAGCAGGGACCAGAGGCACCAUCACUUGAGGAAAUGAGGAAGGAUCCAGCCGUUCAGGCCAGGGGAGCCACCAGGUCCUUUAGCAGCCCCCUCGCAGCCCGAGUGGACCCUCCCAGCAUGAGGAGAGAGGAGAGAAGAGGGGAAUCGGACUUCUUUCGAAUUAGGCCGGACUCUCAGGAGGAGCCCUUCAGACCCUUCCAGCAUGCUGGAACCAGGAUGUAUUUGGGGUCUUUCAUCACUGCUUUUAUCAUUGAGUCAGUGACCUUGUUUUAUUGAGGAACAGAGAAGAAAAGAAAAUCUUAUGUGUUUAUAAUUGUGGAAUCAAAAGGAUUCAAUCUGGGUUUAGUAGAUAUUAUUUUUUUAUUUAUUUUAGCUGCUGAAGCUAUCAAAGGUAUUCAGGCAGGACUUGAACUCACAGUCGCUUUCUAACCUGAUCCCUUAACCACUAAACUGCCUUGUGUAGCCUGUAAUAGCUUUGUAACAUAGCUUGUAGCGGCUACGUUGUUAUUUCUGAUGACCUUUAAUAGAUUUGUGCUGAUUAAGAGGUUUUGGAGAAGAUUUCAUAGUGAGGGGGGUGAGGAAGAGGGUGGAGAGUUACUGGUUUUACUUUAAGGGAGAGAGAUAAGCUGUUAAUCUUCCUCAUACUUGCUGGGAUUGAAAGGGGAAGGUUUUUUUCUCUCUCUUUUUUUUGGAAUUAGUUGUAUAAAAAUGCCAUGUAUAAUGUGUAAUAGAAUUUUCAAAAAAAUAUUUCUUUUUAAAGAAGAGAUUUAUAUUAAAGUAAUUAAUGCA